rnacentral:tRNA from 1 species
GGCUUCCUAGCUCAGCUGGAAGAGCAUCGCACCGGUAUCGCGGAGGUCACGGGUUUGACUCCCGUUGAGGCCC